GAACGCUGGCGGCGGCCUAACAAUGCAAGUCGAACGGUAACAUUUCUAGCUUGCUAGAAGAUGACGAGUGGCGACGGGUGAGUAAUGCUUGGGAACUUGCCUUUGCGAGGGGGAUAACAGUUGGAAACGACUGCUAAUACCGCAUAAUGUCUUCGGACCAAACGGGGCUUCGGCUCCGGCGCAAAGAGAGGCCCAAGUGAGAUUAGCUAGUUGGUAAGGUAACGGCUUACCAAGGCGACGAUCUCUAGCUGUUCUGAGAGGAAGAUCAGCCUCACUGGGACUGAGACACGGCCCAGACUCCUACGGGAGGCAGCAGUGGGGAAUAUUGCACAAUGGGGGAAACCCUGAUGCAGCCAUGCCGCGUGUGUGAAGAAGGCCUUCGGGUUGUAAAGCACUUUCAGUUGUGAGGAAAAGUUAGUAGUUAAUACCUGCUAGCCGUGACGUUAACAACAGAAGAAGCACCGGCUAACUCCGUGCCAGCAGCCGCGGUAAUACGGAGGGUGCGAGCGUUAAUCGGAAUUACUGGGCGUAAAGCGCACGCA
rnacentral:rRNA from 1 species